CCUACGGGUGGCAGCAGUGGGGAAUAUUGGGCAAUGGGCGCAAGCCUGACCCAGCAACGCCGCGUGAAGGAAGAAGGCUUUCGGGUUGUAAACUUCUUUUCUCAGGGACGAAGCAAGUGACGGUACCUGAGUAAUAAGCCACGGCUAACUACGUGCCAGCAGCCGCGGUAAUACGUAGGUGGCAAGCGUUAUCCGGAUUUACUGGGUGUAAAGGGCGUGUGGGCGGGAAAGCAAGUCAGCUGUGAAAUCCAUGGGCUCAACCUGAGUCCUGCAUUUGAAACUGUUUUUCUUGAGUACUGGAGAGGCAGACGGAAUUCCUGGUGUAGCGGUGAAAUGCGUAGAUAUUAGGAGGAACACCAGUGGCGAAGGCGGUCUGCUGGACAGCAACUGACGCUGAGGCGCGAAAGCGUGGGGAGCAAACAGGAUUAGAUACCCCAGUAGUC
rnacentral:rRNA from 1 species